CCCAACGAUCCGGUCAGACGAGGAGCGGGACCAGUACCGAGCCGUGUUUAACGACCAGUACUCGGAGUACAAAGAGCUCCACUCGGAGGUUCAGGCCGCCCUCAAGAAGUUCGAGGAGAUGGACGUGAUGAUGCGCAGUCUGCCGCAGCACCCCUCCAGCCAGAUGGAGGUGGAUCGCAUCAACCGAAUCCUUCAGGAGUACCAGAGGAAGAGAAAUGACCCGACUUUCCUGGAGAAGAAGGAGCGCUGCGAGUACCUGAAGAGCAAACUGUCGCACAUCAAACAGAAGAUCCAGGAGUACGAUAAAGUGAUGGAGUGGAACGACGGAUACAGCUGAACGUCCGAGGUGCCCGAACACCACGAAACACGAACACGCGACCAUAACUGACGGCUGGAAAUGACGUUUUAACCGGAGCGCAGACGGGAGCCUGCUGUGUCUCUGAACUCUGAUUUUGAUUUUGCGUAUCUGUGUUGAUUUGAAGCCCACAUGUAGAACCAAAGUACUGGGAAGUUUUACACUGCAGGAAUAAUUUGACAUUUUGGGAAUAACGCUGGUUCGC